AGUGAACGCUGGCGGUAGGCCUAACACAUGCAAGUCGAACGGCAGCACAGUAAGAGCUUGCUCGUACGGGUGGCGAGUGGCGGACGGGUGAGGAAUACAUCGGAAUCUACUUUUUCGUGGGGGAUAACGUAGGAAAACUUACGCUAAUACCGCAUACGACCUACGGGUGAAAGCAGGGGAUCUUCGGACCUUGCGCGAUUGAAUUAGCCGAUGUCGGAUUAGAUAGUUGGCGGGGUAAAGGCCCACCAAGGCGACGAUCCGUACCUGGUCUGAGAGGGUGAUCACCCACACUGUACCUGAGACACGGCCCACACCCCUGCGGGAGGCAGCAGUGGGGAAUAUUGCACAAUGGGCGAAAGCCUGAUCCAGCAAUACCGCGUGGGUGAUGAAGGCCUUCGGGUUGUAAAGCCAUGUUGUUGUGAAAGAAAAGCAGCAGUUUUAUCCCCCGCUGUUCUGACGGUACCCAAAGAAUAAGCUCCGGCUAACUUCGUG
rnacentral:rRNA from 1 species